CGGGGGGAGCAAGCGUUGUUCGGAUUUACUGGGCGUAAAGGGCGCGUAGGCGGCCACCGCAAGUCGACUGUGAAAUCUCCGGGCUUAACUCGGAAAGGUCAGCCGAUACUGCGGGGCUAGAGUGCAGAAGGGGCAACUGGAAUUCUCGGUGUAGCGGUGAAAUGCGUAGAUAACGAGAGGAACACCUGCGGCGAAGGCGGGUUGCUGGGCUGACACUGACGCUGAUGUGCGAAAGCUAGGGGAGCGAACGGGAUUAGAUACCCCGGUAGUCCUAGCCUUAAACGAUGAAUGCUUGGUGUCUGGGGUUCUAUAGUCCCCGGGUGCCGUCGCUAACGCUUUAAGCAUUCCGCCUGGGGAGUACGGUCGCAAGACUG
rnacentral:rRNA from 1 species